rnacentral:rRNA from 1 species
UACGGGAGGCAGCAGUGGGGAAUAUUGCACAAUGGGCGCAAGCCUGAUGCAGCCAUGCCGCGUGUAUGAAGAAGGCCUUCGGGUUGUAAAGUACUUUCAGUCGUGAGGAAGGUGUUAAGGUUAAUAACCUUAGCAAUUGACGUUAGCGACAGAAGAAGCACCGGCUAACUCCGUGCCAGCAGCCGCGGUAAUACGGAGGGUGCGAGCGUUAAUCGGAAUUACUGGGCGUAAAGGGCACGCAGGCGGUUAAUUAAGUUGGAUGUGAAAUCCCCGGGCUUAACCUGGGAAUGGCAUUCAAGACUGGUUAGCUAGAGUCUUGUAGAGGGGGUUAGAAUUCCAUGUGUAGCGGUGAAAUGCGUAGAGAUGUGGAGGAAUACCGGUGGCGAAGGCGGCCCCUGGACAAAGACUGACGCUCAUGUGCGAAAGCGUGGGGAGCAAACGAGGGAUUAGAUACC